rnacentral:rRNA from 1 species
UCAUAUUAAAAAUAAAAGCUGGACAGUAAAAACAACAGUUUAAAAUCUAAAGAUCUUGGCGGCGCUUUACCUAAUCAGGGGAACUUGUUCCUUAAUUCGAUAAUCCACGAAAAAUUUACCAUUUUUUGAAUUAAACAGUCUGUGUACUGCCGUCCUAAGUAUACUUCUAAGAAAUUAUACAAUAAUAAUUAACUUAUUAAUGUCAGGUCAUAGUACAGCUAAUAAAAUGGAGGAAAUGAGUUACACUCAAUAAAUAGAUACCAAAAUAAAGUUUAAACUUUGUGAAAAGGUGGACUUGAUAGUAAUAAUUACAUAAAAAACUAUUAUGAAACAGAAUCUAAAGCGUGCACACAUCGCCCGUCACUCCAAUCAAAGAUU